UACAGAGGUCCCAAGCGUUGUUCGGAUUCACUGGGCGUAAAGGGUGCGUAGGCGGUCGGGUAAGUCUGAUGUGAAAUCUCACAGCUUAACUGUGAAACUGCAUUGGAUACUAUCCGGCUCGAGGAAUGGAGGGGAGACUGGAAUACUUGGUGUAGCAGUGAAAUGCGUAGAUAUCAAGUGGAACACCAGUGGCGAAGGCGAGUCUCUGGACAAGACCUGACGCUGAGGCACGAAAGCGAGGGGAGCAAACGGG
rnacentral:rRNA from 1 species